rnacentral:rRNA from 1 species
GACGAACGCUGGCGGCGUGCUUAACACAUGCAAGUCGAACGGAAAGGCCCUGCUUGCAGGGUACUCGAGUGGCGAACGGGUGAGUAACACGUGGGUGAUCUGCCCUGCACUUCGGGAUAAGCCUGGGAAACUGGGUCUAAUACCGGAUAGGAGCCAUUUUUAGUGUGGGGGUUGGAAAGUUUUUUCGGUGUAGGAUGAGCUCGCGGCCUAUCAGCUUGUUGGUGGGGUAAUGGCCUACCAAGGCGGCGACGGGUAGCCGGCCUGAGAGGGUGGACGGCCACAUUGGGACUGGGAUACGGCCCAGACUCCUACGGGAGGCAGCAGUGGGGAAUAUUGCACAAUGGGCGCAAGCCUGAUGCAGCGACGCCGCGUGGGGGAUAACGGCCUUCAGGUUGUAAACUCCUUUCGCUAGGGACGAAGCUUUUUGUGACGGUACCUAGAUAAGAAGCACCGGCUAACUACGUG